rnacentral:lncRNA from 1 species
CCGCCGCCGCCGCCGCCGCCGCAGGAUGAGCAGCCUGGGGAAAGUGCGGCCGCCGGGGACAGCCACCCAGAGAAGAGACCAAACAGUGAGAAAGAAGACAAAAAGUGAAAUAGUGGAUCCUCAAUCCGCAGAAGCUGACGUCAGGCUCAGAGCAAGUUGUAAGAGUUACCCACUGAAAGCCAGUCCCCCAAAUCUUCCAAAGAAGCAGAUGGAGCACAGUUGAGUGAAGAUACCAUAAAAUGGCCAAGAACUUUAAUGAAGACCAACUGCUUGUGCAUGUUUCACCCUGGCUUUGAUUUAGAGAAACCCUGGAGGAUGGAGUCAUCACUGAAAAAGGAACAGCAGCUCUCAGUUUCAAAGACCUCAAGACCCACUGAAGAGGACAGUGAGGCCUAGGACCUAUACCACUUUAUUUUGGACUGAGACAAGUUGGAGAGCCCUCACCGAACCCUCUUCUUGACAUUUAAAAUCUUGUAUUACAAUGUAUGAGUUAAAAAAAAAAACACCUGAGCAUUAUCUGCGUUAAUUUGGAAGGAGCAACUUCCAGUUCUGAAGUGUUUACUUGUUUAUUCUGCCUUGUCUAUUUUCCCCCCUCUCUUCACCCAAGAAAUCCUGAAUCGGAAAUUAAAGUGAAAAUGUGGUUUUGUCCUGGAAACAGCUUUACAAAGGCAACAGUUUUAUCCCCCCACCCCAAUUUUCAAAGUUAUGGUCCUUGAAUGUCUUUUGUCAGGGUCCCAAGAUGUCUGACUGCAAGGUUCUUAUUAUCUCCUGGCUUAGGGACAUUUGAAUGAAUAAAGAUGAUCUCAGAAAGUGUUUUCA